AUGACUCUCAUCAGCUGGAACUGCCGGGGGAUCGGGCAACCUCGGACAGUUCGAGAACUUGUGGGCCUUGUCCACACUCACAAGCCCAAGCUGGUGUUCUUAUCCGAGACUCGGAAAAGCCAUGAGUAUGUGAAUAAUCUAAGAUGGAGGUUAGGACUCCGUCAUUGUAUC
rnacentral:rRNA from 1 species